GACGUAGGGUCCAAGCGUUGUCCGGAUUUACUGGCGUAAAGAGCGCGUAGGCGGCUCGUUAAGUGUGAAGUGAAUCUCCAAGGCUCAACCCGGAACUGCUUCGCAUACUGGCGAGCUGGAGUGACGAAGAGGUUUGUGGAAUUCUGGUGUAGCGGUGAAAUGCGUUGAUAUCAAGGAGGAACACCGAUGGCGAAGGCAGCGAAACUGGU
rnacentral:rRNA from 1 species